rnacentral:misc_RNA from 1 species
GGGAAUAUUAUAAUGUUACUCUGCCACCUGGUAUAAUUUGUUCAUGCCCUGUAUUUAUUCCAAUUUGUUUAUUCUUACAGCAUGUUGAUCAGAGAUUUUGAUGCAAUUAACAAGGCCAUUCAUCUUUCACUCUUUCACAGAAUAUCACAAGACUGAUGGCUUUUCAUUAAAUUUUUUAUGCUGAUUGCUUCAUAUCCUGUCCAACUUUCAAAUUCCAACUCUUACAAUUGCAGGUCCAUUCCGCCAUAAGUUCCUU